rnacentral:misc_RNA from 1 species
AACGCAAGUUGCGCCCGAGGCCACCCGACCGAGGGCACGCCUGCCUGGGCGUCAUGCCAAGCGAUGCUCCGAUGCCCCGGAGGCCCGCGAUAGGCUUCCCGGGGAAGUCGGACGCGCUCAAUGGCUCCCCAUGCCCCUCCCGGUGCGGCAGGCCAAAGAUCGAGCCGCUGGCGGGGGCCGGACAUGGCGGAUGGUGGACGCUCAUGCGAUCCUGUCACCGUGCCGUCGGAACCCGGAGAUGGAGGCAGGCCCUCCUACCCCCGCACCCCCCCACCAAAGCGCACGCCACUCCUGGGCCCCGGGCCGGGGGUGGCGCGCCUCGGAUCGCGACCCCAGGUCAGGCGGGAACACCCGCCGAGCUUAA